GUCCCAGCCAUUUGGACCAGUCUGAUGUGGUUGGACGGCAGUCUACAUGGCAAUGGACGACGUGAAACUCAGCCAUGGUGGACGCGACUUUCAUUUAAAAAUGCGAUCUCAUCGAAAAAAUCGAAAUCCCCCAACUCCAUAAUUCCCAAUCCAAGGUCCAAGCCCUAGAUAGAUCUCUUAUCUCUCGAGCUGGCGAUUCUUCAGACUUGACGUAGAGGCUUCUUCGUCUCUAGUGAACUGUCCACACAUGGACCCACAUCCCCGUUUGUCGAUUCUUCAGACUUGGACAUGGUUUUAUUUGAUUACAAGGCCUGAAGCCUUUUUCAGUUACACGCAUGAAGGGAGACCAAGGUGGGGCAUUUUAUAGGGAGUAAAAAGUUUGACUUCUCUCAGUCGGAUUAGAUAGAAGUUGUAAUACAACCAAUUGAAAACAACUGCAAUGUAUUGGUAAAUGAACAAGUAAGAUAAAGUCUAGAUGCAUUUCAUCGUGUCAUUUAAUAAUUGUAUUUGGUCGAUAUUAAUAAUUACAGUUCGAUUUUUAACCAUUUUUUGGCAAGGUAAAUUGGUUGGCACAAGAGGAACUCAAACUCAAUUCAUGCCUACACCUACGAUUGCAAGAGGAUCACCGACAAGGAUAUUAGAAUAUGAACCAACAACUACUUCGAUCGAUGAGUUGCAACACAUUGAUGAGGUUGAAACAAGGAUAUUAGACAUUGAUGAGGUUACAACUAGUUUGAUCGAUGAGUUGCAACAAGGAUAUUAGAAUAUGGUUUUUAGAUGUCCUCUAAUGUGUUUUGUAGUGGUUGAAUCGGUUUGUUAAACUGGUUUUUAGAUGGCCUUUUGUCCAGUACUUUUGAACCAACUUGUAGCAUUACAGGCAGAACUUGGGAAGGUUUCUUAAUUUAUCAAGUCAAGCUUUUGUCCAAAAAACGUGGGGUUAUUCAAAUAAAUGUUUGAUUUUGGUUA